rnacentral:rRNA from 1 species
GCGUUACUGACGCUGAAGCUCGAAAGCGUGGGUAUCGAACAGGAUUAGAUACCCUGGUAGUCCACGCGGUAAACGAUGGAUGCUCGCUGUUUGCCUAUUAUGGUAAGCGGCCAAGCGAAAGCAUUAAGCAUCCCACCUGGGGAGUACGCCGGCAACGGUGAAACUCAAAGGAAUUGACGGGGGCCCGCACAAGCGGAGGAACAUGUGGUUUAAUUCGAUGAUACGCGAGGAACCUUACCCGGGCUUGAACUGUAGGUGAACGAUUCAGAGAUGAUGAGGUCCUUCGGGACGCCUAUGGAGGUGCUGCAUGGUUGUCGUCAGCUCGUGCCGUGAGGUGUCGGCUUAAGUGCCAUAACGAGCGCAACCCCUUUCCGCAGUUGCCAUCAGGUAGAGCUGGGCACUCUGCGGAUACUGCCACCGCAAGGUGUGAGGAAGGUGGGGAUGACGUCAAAUCAGCACGGCCCUUACGUCCGGGGCUACACACGUGUUACAAUGGCGCAUACAGCGAGUCGGUCUUUGGCAACAGAGGUCUAAUCAAAAAAAUGCGUCGUAGUUCGGAUUGGGGUCUGCAACCCGACCCCAUGAAGCUGGAUUCGCUAGU